rnacentral:rRNA from 1 species
GCUGAUGCGUUGUUGGGUAGGGGAGCGUUCUGUAAGCCUGUGAAGGUGGCCUGUGAGGGUUGCUGGAGGUAUCAGAAGUGCGAAUGCUGACAUAAGUAACGAUAAAGCGGGUGAAAAGCCCGCUCGCCGGAAGACCAAGGGUUCCUGUCCAACGUUAAUCGGGGCAGGGUGAGUCGACCCCUAAGGCGAGGCCGAAAGGCGUAGUCGAUGGGAAACGGGUUAAUAUUCCCGUACUUGGUGUUACUGCGAAGGGGGGACGGAGAAGGCUAUGUUGGCCGGGCGACGGUUGUCCCGGUUUAAGCGUGUAGGUGUGUGUUCCAGGUAAAUCCGGUUCACUUUAACACUGAGGCGUGAUGACGAGGCACUACGGUGCUGAAGCAACAAAUGCCCUGCUUCCAGGAAAAGCCUCUAAGCAUCAGGUAACAUCAAAUCGUACCCCAAACCGACACAGGUGGUCAGGUAGAGAAUACCAAGGCGCUUGAGAGAACUCGGGUGAAGGAACUAGGCAAAAUGGUGCCGUAACUUCGGGAGAAGGCACGCUGACACGUAGGUGAAGUGAUUUACUCAUGGAGCUGAAGUCAGUCGAAGAUACCAGCUGGCUGCAACUGUUUAUUAAAAACACAGCACUGUGCAAACACGAAAGUGGACGUAUACGGUGUGACGCCUGCCCGGUGCCGGAAGGUUAAUUGAUGGGGUCAGCGCAAGCGAAGCUCCUGAUCGAAGCCCCGGUAAACGGCGGCCGUAACUAUAACGGUCCUAAGGUAGCGAAAUUCCUUGUCGGGUAAGUUCCGACCUGCACGAAUGGCGUAAUGAUGGCCAGGCUGUCUCCACCCGAGACUCAGUGAAAUUGAACUCGCUGUGAAGAUGCAGUGUACCCGCGGCAAGACGGAAAGACCCCGUGAACCUUUACUAUAGCUUGACACUGAACAUUGAGCCUUGAUGUGUAGGAUAGGUGGGAGGCUUUGAAGCGUGGACGCCAGUCUGCGUGGAGCCGACCUUGAAAUACCACCCUUUAAUGUUUGAUGUUCUAACGUGGACCCGUAAUCCGGGUUGCGGACAGUGUCUGGUGGGUAGUUUGACUGGGGCGGUCUCCUCCUAAAGAGUAACGGAGGAGCACGAAGGUUGGCUAAUCCUGGUCGGACAUCAGGAGGUUAGUGCAAUGGCAUAAGCCAGCUUGACUGCGAGCGUGACGGCGCGAGCAGGUGCGAAAGCAGGUCAUAGUGAUCCGGUGGUUCUGAAUGGAAGGGCCAUCGCUCAACGGAUAAAAGGUACUCCGGGGAUAACAGGCUGAUACCGCCCAAGAGUUCAUAUCGACGGCGGUGUUUGGCACCUCGAUGUCGGCUCAUCACAUCCUGGGGCUGAAGUAGGUCCCAAGGGUAUGGCUGUUCGCCAUUUAAAGUGGUACGCGAGCUGGGUUUAGAACGUCGUGAGACAGUUCGGUCCCUAUCUGCCGUGGGCGCUGGAGAACUGAGGGGGGCUGCUCCUAGUACGAGAGGACCGGAGUGGACGCAUCACUGGUGUUCGGGUUGUCAUGCCAAUGGCACUGCCCGGUAGCUAAAUGCGGAAGAGAUAAGUGCUGAAAGCAUCUAAGCACGAAACUUGCCCCGA